ACUUAAAUUGAAGAGUUUGAUCAUGGCUCAGAUUGAACGCUGGCGGCAGGCCUAACACAUGCAAGUCGAGCGGUAGCACAGAGAGCUUGCUCUCGGGUGACGAGCGGCGGACGGGUGAGUAAUGUCUGGGAAACUGCCUGAUGGAGGGGGAUAACUACUGGAAACGGUAGCUAAUACCGCAUAACGUCGCAAGACCAAAGUGGGGGACCUUCGGGCCUCAUGCCAUCAGAUGUGCCCAGAUGGGAUUAGCUAGUAGGUGGGGUAAUGGCUCACCUAGGCGACGAUCCCUAGCUGGUCUGAGAGGAUGACCAGCCACACUGGAACUGAGACACGGUCCAGACUCCUACGGGAGGCAGCAGUGGGGAAUAUUGCACAAUGGGCGCAAGCCUGAUGCAGCCAUGCCGCGUGUGUGAAGAAGGCCUUCGGGUUGUAAAGCACUUUCAGCGGGGAGGAAGGCGGUGAGGUUAAUAACCUCACCGAUUGACGUUACCCGCAGAAGAAGCACCGGCUAACUCCGUGCCAGCAGCCGCGGUAAUACGGAGGGUGCAAGCGUUAAUCGGAAUUACUGGGCGUAAAGCGCACGCAGGCGGUCUGUCAAGUCGGAUGUGAAAUCCCCGGGCUCAACCUGGGAACUGCAUUCGAAACUGGCAGGCUAGAGUCUUGUAGAGGGGGGUAGAAUUCCAGGUGUAGCGGUGAAAUGCGUAGAGAUCUGGAGGAAUACCGGUGGCGAAGGCGGCCCCCUGGACAAAGACUGACGCUCAGGUGCGAAAGCGUGGGGAGCAAACAGGAUUAGAUACCCUGGUAGUCCACGCUGUAAACGAUGUCGAUUUGGAGGUUGUGCCCUUGAGGCGUGGCUUCCGGAGCUAACGCGUUAAAUCGACCGCCUGGGGAGUACGGCCGCAAGGUUAAAACUCAAAUGAAUUGACGGGGGCCCGCACAAGCGGUGGAGCAUGUGGUUUAAUUCGAUGCAACGCGAAGAACCUUACCUGGUCUUGACAUCCACAGAACUUUCCAGAGAUGGAUUGGUGCCUUCGGGAACUGUGAGACAGGUGCUGCAUGGCUGUCGUCAGCUCGUGUUGUGAAAUGUUGGGUUAAGUCCCGCAACGAGCGCAACCCUUAUCCUUUGUUGCCAGCGGUUAGGCCGGGAACUCAAAGGAGACUGCCAGUGAUAAACUGGAGGAAGGUGGGGAUGACGUCAAGUCAUCAUGGCCCUUACGGCCAGGGCUACACACGUGCUACAAUGGCAUAUACAAAGAGAAGCGACCUCGCGAGAGCAAGCGGACCUCAUAAAGUAUGUCGUAGUCCGGAUUGGAGUCUGCAACUCGACUCCAUGAAGUCGGAAUCGCUAGUAAUCGUAGAUCAGAAUGCUACGGUGAAUACGUUCCCGGGCCUUGUACACACCGCCCGUCACACCAUGGGAGUGGGUUGCAAAAGAAGUAGGUAGCUUAACCUUCGGGAGGGCGCUUACCACUUUGUGAUUCAUGACUGGGGUGAAGUCGUAACAAGGUAACCGUAGGGGAACCUGCGGUUGGAUCACCUCCUUACCUUAAAGAA
rnacentral:rRNA from 1 species